ACAAGCAGAGGGGGCUUAGUGGUGGGGUGACUGCGUACCUUUUGUAUAAUGGGUCAGCGACUUAUAUUCUGUAGCAAGGUUAACCGUAUAGGGGAGCCGGAGGGAAACCGAGUCUUAAUUGGGCGUUAAGUUGCAGGGUAUAGACCCGAAACCCGGUGAUCUAGCCAUGGGCAGGUUGAAGGUUGGGUAACACUAACUGGAGGACCGAACCGACUAAUGUUGAAAAAUUAGCGGAUGACCUGUGGCUGGGGGUGAAAGGCCAAUCAAACCGGGAGAUAGCUGGUUCUCCCCGAAAGCUAUUUAGGUAGCGCCUCGUGAAUUCAUCUCCGGGGGUAGAGCACUGUUUCGGCUAGGGGGCCAUCCCGGCUUACCAACCCGAUGCAAACUGCGAAUACCGGAGAAUGUUAUCACGGGAGACACACGGCGGGUGCUAACGUCCGUCGUGAAGAGGGAAACAACCCAGACCGCCAGCUAAGGUCCCAAAGUCAUGGUUAAGUGGGAAACGAUGUGGGAAGGCCCAGACAGCCAGGAUGUUGGCUUAGAAGCAGCCAUCAUUUAAAGAAAGCGUAAUAGCUCACUGGUCGAGUCGGCCUGCGCGGAAGAUGUAACGGGGCUAAACCAU
rnacentral:rRNA from 1 species